AACAGCCCACUCUCGCGGCCCACCCUACUCCUGCCGAGCAACCCACUCUUACGGCCUAACCUGCUCCCACCGAACAACCCACUCCCGAGGCCCAACUUGCUCCCGUGGCCUUCUAAGCAGCUCAAAUCUGUCCAAGAUUAGUUCAACAGUCCCGACUCUAAAUUUUUGGAUCGACGAUCAAACCGGGAGCAUUUUCACCACAUUUUUCUAUGAAUUUGACAUUUCCCAACUCAAAUCUCGCGCUCGGAGUCUACCACACUUCCAUUGCUCAAUGAGAUACAUUCCUUCCAAGCUCUUCCAACCUAAAUGAAGAACAACACUUGUCUCGACAAGUUAUAGAGUUAACGAGUGCCCUUGCAUAAAAGACGACCUUGGUGAAUCAGCUCUUGCAGCUCACCGAGAUGCAAUGUGCCCCUGACGAGGGGUCUCAAAGUAGGACAAGGGUAGACGAAGAAUCUCUCCAGCAGCGUCCCAGCAACCAGCCACUUGACCAGUCACGAACCGAGCGUUCUAAUUGAGUACAUUAGGGACUGGGCCCCCGAGAUAGCGUAUACUC
rnacentral:lncRNA from 1 species